rnacentral:rRNA from 1 species
AAAACUAUUCGCCAGAGUACUACUCGCAACUGCCUAAAACUCAAAGGACUUGGCGGUGCUUCACAUCCACCUAGAGGAGCCUGUUCUAUAAUCGAUAAACCCCGAUAGACCUUACCAACCCUUGCCAAUUCAGCCUAUAUACCGCCAUCUUCAGCAAACCCUAAAAAGGAACAAUAGUAAGCACAAUCAUAACACAUAAAAACGUUAGGUCAAGGUGUAGCUUAUGGGUUGGAAAGAAAUGGGCUACAUUUUCUACAUAAGAAUACCCACCAUACGAAAGUUUUUAUGAAACUAAAAACCAAAGGAGGAUUUAGCAGUAAAUCAAGAAUAGAGUGCUUGAUUGAAUAAGGCCAUGAAGCACGCACACACCGCCCGUCACCCU